GACGAACGCUGGCGGCGUGCCUAAUACAUGCAAGUCGAGCGAAGUUUUUCUGGUGCUUGCACUAGAAACACUUAGCGGCGAACGGGUGAGUAACACGUAAAGAACCUGCCUCAUAGACUGGGACAACCAUUGGAAACGAUAGCUAAUACCGGAUAACAGUAUUUCUCGCAUGAGAGAUAUUUAAAAGUUGGUUAUGCUAACACUAUGAGAUGGCUUUGCGGUGCAUUAGCUAGUUGGUGGGGUAAAGGCCCACCAAGGCGACGAUGCAUAGCCGACCUGAGAGGGUGAUCGGCCACACUGGGACUGAGACACGGCCCAGACUCCUACGGGAGGCAGCAGUAGGGAAUCUUCCGCAAUGGGCGAAAGCCUGACGGAGCAACGCCGCGUGAGUGAAGAAGGAUUUCGGUUCGUAAAGCUCUGUUGUUAGGGAAGAAUGGAUGUGUAGUAACUAUACAUGUAAGAGACGGUACCUAACCAGAAAGCCACGGCUAACUACGUG
rnacentral:rRNA from 1 species